rnacentral:rRNA from 1 species
GCCUUAGUACGGCGAGUGAAGCGGCAACAGCUCAAAUUUGAAAGCUGGCCCUUUUAGGGUCCGCGUUGUAAUUUGUAGAGGAUGAUUCGGCGAGGGCUCCUGCCUAAGUCCCCUGGAACGGGGCGUCAUAGAGGGUGAGAAUCCCGUAUGCGSURGGUUGCCUUAGCCAUGUGAAUCUCCUUCGACGAGUCGAGUUGUUUGGGAAUGCAGCUCUAAAUGGGAGGUAAAUUUCUUCUAAAGCUAAAUACUGGCCAGAGACCGAUAGCGCACAAGUAGAGUGAUCGAAAGAUGAAAAGCACUUUGGAAAGAGAGUUAAAAAGUACGUGAAAUUGUUGAAAGGGAAGCGCUUGCAACCAGACUUGUCCGCAGUUGCUCAGCCGGUCUCCUGACCGGCGUACUCUUCUGCGGCCAGGCCAGCAUCAGUUCGGGCGGUCGGAUAAAGGCCUCGGGAAUGUAGCUCCUCUCGGGGAGUGUUAUAGCCCGGGGUGGAAUGCGACCAGCCUGGACUGAGGAUCUCGCUUCGG